rnacentral:rRNA from 1 species
AUAAGCUACUAAGGGCGAAUGGUGGAUGCCUAGGUUGGUAAAGGCGAAGAAGGACGUGCUAGGCUGCGAUAAGCCUCGGGGAGUUGUCAAGAGACUUUGAUCCGGGGAUUUCCGAAUGGGGCAACCCAAUACAUAGUGAUGUGUAUUACUGCAUUUUGCAGAGCGAACGAGGGGAAGUGAAACAUCUCAGUAUCCUCAGGAAAAGAAAUCAAAAGAGAUUCUGCUAGUAGCGGCGAGCGAACGCGGAUUAGGGCAGUUAGUAUUAACACAUAUAUUAGAAGAAUCCUCUGGAAAGUGGAACCAAAGAGAGUGAUAGUCUCGUAAUUAAAAAUAUUUGUGUGGAACUAGGCUAACGAACGAGUAGGUCGGGACACGUGAUAUCUUGACUGAAUAUGGGGGGACCACCCUCCAACCCUAAAUACUACUACUAAACCGAUAGUGAACCAGUACCGUGAGGGAAAGGUGAAAAGAACCCCAGUGAGGGGAGUGAAAUAGAACCUGAAACCAUUUGCCUACAAUCAUUCAGAGCACUAUGAUUUAUCAGUGUGAUGGACUGCCUUUUGCAUAAUGAGCCUGCGAGUUAUGGUAUAUGGCGAGGUUAAGGAAACCCGGAGCCGUAGUGAAAGCGAGCCUGAAUAGGGCGAAUUAGUCAUGUGUUGCAGACCCGAAACGAAGUGAUCUAUCCAUGAGCAGGUUGAAGCUGGUGUAAGAGCUAGUGGAGGACCGAACCGGUGUGCGUUGAAAAGUGCUCGGAUGACUUGUGGAUAGGGGUGAAAGGCCAAUCAAACUUCGUGAUAGCUGGUUCUCUCCGAAAUAUAUUUAGGUAUAGCCUCUUGUCGUAACAUAGGGGGGUAGAGCACUGAUUGGGCUAGGGCUGCAUCCCGCGGUACCAAACCCUGUCAAACUCCGAAUACCCUAUGCGUAAUCAAGGGAGUCAGGCGGCGGGUGAUAAAAUGCGUCGUCGAGAGGGAAACAACCCAGACUACCAACUAAGGUCCCAAAGUUAUAAUUGAGUGGAAAACGAUGUGAAAUUACUGAGACAACCAGGAGGUUGGCUUAGAAGCAGCCAUCCUUUAAAGAAAGCGUAAUAGCUCACUGGUCUAGUGAUUCUGCGCGGAAAAUAUAACGGGGCUAAAAUAUCCACCGAAGCUGUAGAUUUGAAAUUUAUUUCAAGUGGUAGGAGAGCGUUCUAGUCAGCGCUGAAGGUAUACCGGUAAGGAGUACUGGAGCGGCUAGAAGUGAGCAUGCAGGCAUGAGUAGCGAUAAAAGGGGUGAGAAUCCCCUUCGCCGAAAACCCAAGGUUUCCUACGCGAUGCUCGUCAUCGUAGGGUUAGUCGGGUCCUAAGCUGAGUCCGAAAGGGGUAGGCGAUGGAAAAUAGGUUAAUAUUCCUAUACCAACAAUAGAGCGUGAUGUAGGGACGCUUAGAGCUAAACGAGCUAACUGAUGGAAUAGUUAGUCGAAGGGAGUAGGUUGAAUCAUUGGCAAAUCCGUGAUUCUUUAUCCGAGACCUGACAGGCACUCGAAAUUCUUCGGAAUGGAAGGUGAAUCGUUGAUGCUGUCGAGCCAAGAAAAGCUACUAAGCAUAUCUAUUGUUGCCCGUACCGCAAACCGACACAGGUGGGUGAGAUGAGUAUUCUAAGGCGCGUGGAAGAAUCCUGGUUAAGGAACUCUGCAAAAUAGCACCGUAUCUUCGGUAUAAGGUGUGCCUCCCUUUGUGAAACCCCUGCGGGUGGAGCGAAGAAGGUUACAACAAAGAGUCCCUCCCGACUGUUUACCAAAAACACAGCACUCUGCUAACUCGUAAGAGGAUGUAUAGGGUGUGACGCCUGCCCGGUGCUCGAAGGUUAAAAGGAUUGCUUAGCAUUAGCGAAGGCAUGAAUUGAAGCCCGAGUAAACGGCGGCCGUAACUAUAACGGUCCUAAGGUAGCGAAAUUCCUUGUCGGU